UUUUUUUUUUUUUUUUUUUUUUCCAAUGGCUGCACCUGUGGUAUAUAGAAGUUCCCAGGCUAGGGGUCAAAUUGGAACCACAGCUGUAGGUCUGUGCCACAGCCAUGGCAACAUGGGAUCUGAGCCAUAUCUGUGAUCUACACUACAGCUUACAGCAACACCAGAUCCUUAACCCACUGAGUGAGGGAUUGAAUCUACGUCUUCAUGGAGACUAUGCCAGGUUCUUAGCCCACUGAGCCACAGAGAGAACUCCCUGUUUUUAAUUGUUCAUUCAAAAUUUUGUACUCAUUUUCUAAAAAAGGGAGUCUCCUCAAACUGUAUUAAGAUCCAAGCCCCAGAGAUUCGGGCUCUGUCUGUGCCUUCCUCACUACCGGCCUCUCCUUUCAGCCUCUUCUGCUGGGUCUUCCUCAUCUACCAGAUCUCCUAGUUUUUCCUCUGGCCUGUCUAUACCUAUUCUCCAACGGAUAUCAUGCUGUCCUCACGGCUUUAAAUAUAACAUGCUGCCCACACCCAAAGUGUAUCUCUAGCCCAAACUUCUCUCUAAUUUCACAUAUUCAACUACCACUUAGCUCCGCCCCUUGCCUCUCUGAUUUUACCUCCUCUCACUCUCUGCUCCCAGCUGCUUGUUGGACCCUGUCAGUAUGCAUUUGCACAUGUGCUUCUCUUUGUCUGGAACACCUGUUCCCCACUGACCUAAAUGGCUUGCUCCCCACCACCUUUAGGGCUUUACUUCACAGUUCCCUCAUUCCUGGGGGUGUUCUCUAACCUAUUUUUUUUUUUUUUUUUUUGGCCGUGCCCAUGGCAUGUGGAAGUUCCGGGGCCAGAGAGCAAACCUGCGCCACAGCAUGUGCCAGAUCCUUAACCCUCUGAGCCACCAGGGCACUCCCCGCUAACCUAUUUCAAUAUCAAUUCUUUUCCACAAGUCCACUUCUCCCAUUUAUAUUCUCUCUCCACUGACCGACUAGAAUGUAAGCUUCCUGAGGGCAGGGAGUUGACUUUUUUGUUUCCUGCUGGGUUCCCAGGAAGCAGAGCAAUAUGGCAGAUACUGAGUGAAUAUCUGUUAAAUGAAUGAAUGAGUAAAAAAAUAAAAUGAAUACAUUCAUCUAAGUUUCACGAGGGCAUGGCAUUCCUAGCACCAAACACAGUCCCUGCCUUGGGUUUGGAAGACCUUCACAAGUGUUUGCUGAAUGGCUGAAUGACUUCAGGCAGAGCAGCGGAGGAGAAAUGAAGCUAGUUAAGAAAAGGGAAAUGGGGAGUUCCCGUCGUGGCUCAGUGGUUAACGAAUCCGACUAAGAACCAUUAGGUUGCGGGUUUGAUCCCUGGCCUCACUCAGUGGGUUAAGGAUCCGGCAUUGCCAUGAGCUGUGGUGUAGGUAGCAGACGCGGCUCGGAUCCUGCGUUGCUGUGGCUCUGGCGUAGGCCAGUGGCUACAGCUCCAACUUGACCCCAAGCCUGGGAACCUCCAUAUGCCGCGGGAACGG
rnacentral:lncRNA from 1 species